rnacentral:rRNA from 1 species
GCGGGGCAACCUGGCGGCGAGUGGCGAACGGGUGAGUAAUAUAUCGGAACGUACCCAGAAGUGGGGGAUAACGUAGCGAAAGUUACGCUAAUACCGCAUACGAUCUACGGAUGAAAGUGGGGGACCUUCGGGCCUCAUGCUUUUGGAGCGGCCGAUAUCUGAUUAGCUAGUUGGUGAGGUAAAGGCUCACCAAGGCGACGAUCAGUAGCUGGUCUGAGAGGACGACCAGCCACACUGGGACUGAGACACGGCCCAGACUCCUACGGGAGGCAGCAGUGGGGAAUUUUGGACAAUGGGCGCAAGCCUGAUCCAGCAAUGCCGCGUGAGUGAAGAAGGCCUUCGGGUUGUAAAGCUCUUUUGUCAGGGAAGAAACGGCAGAGGCUAAUAUCCUUUGCUAAUGACGGUACCUGAAGAAUAAGCACCGGCUAACUACGUGCCAGCAGCCGCGGUAAUACGUAGGGUGCAAGCGUUAAUCGGAAUUACUGGGCGUAAAGCGUGCGCAGGCGGUUUUGUAAGUCUGACGUGAAAUCCCCGGGCUCAACCUGGGAAUUGCGUUGGAGACUGCAAGGCUGGAGUCUGGCAGAGGGGGGUAGAAUUCCACGUGUAGCAGUGAAAUGCGUAGAGAUGUGGAGGAACACCGAUGGCGAAGGCAGCCCCCUGGGUCAAGACUGACGCUCAUGCACGAAAGCGUGGGGAGCAAACAGGAUUA